GUUUUAUAUGAGAAAAUAAACUUACUGAUUACUUUUCAUUUGUUCCAUAUACCUAAUUACAUGCAGUGUUACUAGCAUCUGAAACAGCCUCUCCUUUAGAAGGCUGGAACACGGCCUGGAAUGGGCAUAACUCAUGGCAAGACUCAACAUUCUUCUUUGCAGUGGUUCUUUUUCCUUCCUCUCAAGAAGAUAAAUGGGCCCUUUUGGGAUUCUUGCCUGGCAGGAGUGGGCUGGUCUGAUGAGACUCAGGGAUUCAUGCUUAUGGAGGAAAGGACAUUGACAGAAAUGGAAAUGCCAUGGAUUUCUAGAGACAAGUGGAUGUGAUGUUGGGAUGGCUCUAACGAGGAAGCAAAAAUGAUAAAGCAGAAUGUUCAAGGCACUAAGAGCCAGAAAAGGUCCUGAACCUCAUUGCCUUGCUGCUGGAUACUGUAUCUCUUCCUGUGCCUGCCCAACUCUAAUGGAGCCGCCACGGCAGAGUUGUAGAACUCUCACUUCCAUUUCUUUCCAUUCUUCAUGUAUCCUCCUUCUCCAAGGUGGCUGCCUUGAGGUAGGGCCCUUUGUAGAACGCAUAAUCUUGAUCUUCUUCUUCACAGUGCUGCUA
ensembl:lincRNA